GCCUAAAGGGGCCGUAGCCGGCUUGGUCAGUCUUCCGGGAAAUCUGACGGCUUAACCGUUAGGCUUCCGGGGGAUACUGCCAGGCUUGGGACCGGGAGAGGUAAGAGGUACUACGGGGGUAGGAGUGAAAUCUUGUAAUCCCCGUGGGACCACCAGUGGCGAAGGCGUCUUACCAGAACGGGUCCGACGGUGAGGGACGAAAGCUGGGGGCACGAACCGGAUUAGAUACCCGGGUAGUCCCAGCCGUAAACUAUGCUCGCUAGGUGUCAGGGACGGUGCGACCGUUUCUGGUGCCGCAGGGAAGCCGUGAAGCGAGCCACCUGGGAAGUACGGUCGCAAGGCUGAAACUUAAAGGAAUUGGCGGGGGAGCACUACAACGGGUGGAGCCUGCGGUUUAAUUGGACUCAACGCCGGAAAACUCACCGGGGGCGACAGCAAUAUGUAGGUCAAGCUAAAGACUUUACCAGAAUCGCUGAGAGGAGGUGCAUGGCCGUCGUCAGUUCGUACUGUGAAGCAUCCUGUUAAGUCAGGCAACGAGCGAGACCCGUGCCCACUGUUGCCAGCAUGUCCUUCGGGAUGAUGGGUACUCUGUGGGGACCGCCGAUGCUAAAUCGGAGGAAGGUGCGGGCUACGGUAGGUCCGCAUGCCCCUAA
rnacentral:rRNA from 1 species